rnacentral:rRNA from 1 species
AAAAGAUUCAUCUAUUGCUUGUGAAAAGAGGAGGAAUACAUGGCUAUUUAUAGGGUUUCUAAACCCUAACUCCUAAAAGGACUCCUACUCAAGACUCCUUCUAACCAACUCCUAACAGACUUCUAAUCAAGACUCCUAUUUCUUUACAACUCCUAAUUUAUCUCUAAGAAACAAUCUCCUAACCCUAGCAGGCCUCUUCACAUCUUUAAUAGGGGUCGGCUUAGGUAGGUUUUACAUGAAUGUCCCUCUCAAUUAGGACUCUCCUAGCUAGAGUCCUAACGUACACGUGCGACCUAGGCAUCGGCCAGUGGGCUCCCCAUCCGACCCGUCUUAAAACACGGACCAAGGAGUCUGACAUGCGUGCGAGUCGACGGGUGCGGAAACCCGGAAGGCACAAGGAAGCUAACGGGCGGGAACCCUCUCGAGCAGUUGCACCGCCAACCGACCCCGAUCUUCUAUGAAGGGUUCGAGUUGGAGCAUGCAUGUCGGGACCCAAAAGAUGGUGAACUAUGCCUGAGCGAGGCGAAGCCAGAGGAAACUCUGGUGGAGGCCCGAAGCGAUACUGACGUGCAAAUCAUUCGUCUGACUUGGGUAUAGGGGCGAAAGACUAAUCGAACCAUCUAGUAGCUGGUUCCCUCCAAGUUUCCCUCGGGAUAGCUGGAGCCCACGGCGAAGUUCUAUCGGGUAAAGCCAAUGAUUAGAGGCAUCGGGGGCAUAACGCCGUCGACCUAUUCUCAAACUUUAAAUAGGUAGGACUGGCGCUGCGUUGUUGAGUCGCUGUCAGGAAUCGGAGAGCUCCAAGUGGGCCUUUUUUUGGUAAGCAGAACUGGGCGAUGUGGGAUGAACCAAAGCCGGGUUCUGGUGCCCAACUGCGCUAACCCGGACACCACAAAGGGUGUUGGUCGAUUAAGAGACAGGACGGUGGUCAUGGAAGUCGAAAUCCGCUAAGGAGUGUGUAACAACUCACUGCCGAAUCAACUAGCCCCGAAAAUGGAUGGCGCCAAGCACGCCGACCCACACCCCGCCAUCGGGCGAAAGCCAAGCCCCGGAUGAGUAGGAGGGUGCGGCGGUCGCCAAGAAAACCCAGACGCGAGCAGCCGGGCGGCGGCCGGGUGCAGAUCUUGGUGGUAGUAGCAAAUAUUCAAAUGAGAACUUUGAAGGCAAGAGGGGAAAGGUUCCAUGUGAACGACACUUGCACAUGGGUUAGCCGAUCCUAAGGGACGGGGAAGCCCAUCCGAGCGUGUCUCCGCUGAAGCUUCGAAGGGAAUCGGGUUAAAAUUCCCAGCCGGGAUGCGCGGCGGACUUAAACGUUAGGAAGUCCCGAGACGCCGGGCGGGGCUCCGGAAGAGUUAUCUUUUUUCUGCUUAACGCCCGCCCACCUCGAAACGGCUCAGCCGGAGGUAGGGUCCAGCUGGUCGGAGGAAGAAGCGCCGCCGCGUCCACGGGCGUCCGGUCGCCCGGGCGGCCCUUGAAAUUGAGGACCGAAAGUGCCGCCCGCCGCGGUCGUACUCGUACUCAUAACCGCAUCAGGUCUCCAAGGUCAUGACCUCCCGCCCAUGGAACAAUGUAGGCAAGGGAAGUCGGCAAAACGGAUCCGUAACCGGGAAAAGGAUUGGCUCGAGGGCUGGGCACGGGGUCCCCCCAACCGUCGGUGGUCGGCGGACUGCUCCGAGCUACUCUCGCGACGAGAGCUGGUCGCCGCUGUCGGGCCGGGGAUCGGACCGGGAAUGGCCCCUCGGGGGCCUUUCCCGAAAGCGUCGAACAGCCGAACUCAAAACCGGUACCGGACAAGGGGAAUCCAUGUUUAAUUAAAACAAAGCAUUGCGAUGGUCCCCCGGAUGCUCACAUAAUGUGAUUUCUGCCCUGCUAUGAAUGUCAAAGUGAUGAAAUUCAACCAAGCGCUGGUAAACAAGGAGUAACUAUGACUCUCUUAAGGUGGCGAAAUGCCUCGUCAUCUAAUUAGUGACGCGCAUGAAUGGAUUAAUGAGAUUCCCAUUGUCCCCGUCUACUAUCCAACGUGAAACCACAACCAAGGGAACGGGCUUGGCAGAAUCAGGGGGAAAGAAUACCUGUUGAGCUUGACUCUAGUCCGACUUUUUGUGAAAUGACUUGAGAGGUGUAGGAUAAGUGGGAGCCGGUUCGCGGGCGGAAGUGAAAUACCACUACUUUUAACGUUAUAUUACUUAUUCCGUGAGUCGGAUAGGGGCCCCCCCUCCUUUUGACCCAAGGCGCUGCCCGAAGGCCGAUCGAUCCGCGGAAGACAUUGUUAGGUGGGGAGUUUUGGGGCGGCACAUCUGUUAAAAGAUAACGCAGGUUUCCUAAGAUGAGCUCAACGAGAACAGAAAAUCUCGUGUGGAACAAAAGGGUAAAAGCUCGUUUGAUUCUGAUUUCUAAUCCUAAUAUGAACCGUGAAAGCGUGGCCUAUCGAUCCUUUAGACCUUCGGAAUUUGAAGCUAGAGGUGUCGGAAAAAGUUACCACGGGAUAAUUGGCUUGUGGCAGCCAAGUGUUCAUAGCGACGUUGUUUUUUGAUCCUUCGAUGUCGGCUCUUCCUAUCUUUGUGAAGCAUAAUUCACCAAGUGUUGGAUUGUUCACCCACCAAUAGGGAACGUGAGCUGGGUUUAGACCGUCGUGAGACAAAGUUAGUUUUUUACCCUACCGAUGAUCGUGGUCGCGAUAGUAAUUCAACCUAGUGCGAGAGGCACCGUUGAUUCACACAAUUGGUCAUCGCGCUUGGUUGAAAAGCCGCUGGCGCCGGUUACCGCGGUGUCGGAUUAUGACUGAACGCCUCUAAGUCAGAAUCCUAGCUAGCAACCGGCGCUCGCCGUCGCCGCCUCCCGACCCCAGUAGGGGCCUUUGGCCCCUAUGGGGCUCGUGUCACCGGUGUAGCCCUCGGUGGUAUAGCCACGGCGGCCAUCGGAAGUGAAAUUCCGCACGGACGUUGGGUGAAUCCAUUGCAGGCGACUUAAAUACGCGAUGGGGCAUUGUGGUGGUAGAGUGGCCUUGCUGCCACGAUCCACUGAGAUCCAGCCCUGCGUCGCAUGGAUUCGUCCCCCUCCCCAAAU